rnacentral:ncRNA from 1 species
UCAAAUGCAAUGAAGGUGUAAGUAAAUCCUUAUUUUCUUCCAGAGAGAAGGGGCCAUCGGCUGUAAGCCCUUUUAAGUUCAGAUAAGAGAUUGAAUUUCCCACCGAAGCAGCAUGAUUGAAACCAGUGACAGCUAUGGCUGCCGGUCUGGCGGGUAAGUCAUGACGUCAAUACACGUUACGUAUACCGAGUGCCUGUGCAUGCAUAGGAAUCAGGGUGGUACCGCGAAUAUAGCUUCGUCCCUUUU